GAUGAACGCUAGCGGCAGGCUUAAUACAUGCAAGUCGAGGGGCAGCGCGGGUAGCAAUACCUGGCGGCGACCGGCAAACGGGUGCGGAACACGUACAGAACCUUCCUUUAAGCGGGGGAUAGCCCAUAGAAAUGUGGAUUAAUACCCCAUAGUAAUACUAGCUGGCAUCAGUUGGUAUUUAAGAUUUAUCACUUAAAGAUGGCUGUGCGGCUGAUUAGGUAGUUGGUGCGGGUAACGGCCCACCAAGCCAGCGAUCAGUAACUGGUGUGAGAGCACGACCAGUCACACGGGCACUGAGACACGGGCCCGACUCCUACGGGAGGCAGCAGUAAGGAAUAUUGGUCAAUGGACGCAAGUCUGAACCAGCCAUGCCGCGUGAAGGAUGAAGGCCCUCUGGGUUGUAAACUUCUUUUAUCUGGAAGAAAUGCUUGCUUUUUAGCGAGUUUGACGGUACCAGAGGAAUAAGCACCGGCUAACUCCGU
rnacentral:rRNA from 1 species